CUUGAAAGCCUGUAAGUCAUUUAAUGGUCCCUCCACUCUACAUCUGAAUUGUGACAACAAAACAAAUUCGUCUUACCGCUCCCCUUUCACUUCGAACUUGUUUAAAUGGAGAACUUCAGAGCUUGGGCGAGUUGACGUUGAGGGAGUCGGGGGGGCCCAUCUGAGUGGUCCUCGUCAUGGGACCUUUUCACCAGCUCUUUGCUGACACAGACUGUUCCAUUGAAAUAACCUUUCUGAAAUGAUAUGAUUGCAUGUUCAAAAUGAUCCAGAUUUUUUUCAGUAUGUCCUCCGGUGCCUUCCGUGUCUGCCGAACCAACCCGGGGCAGAGCUUGUUGGAAUACAAUGGACACCGCUACAUAAAAGAUACUCACACGACGGAGCAGGCGUAGCAGCCUUGCCUGCUGCUCUCGCGGAUGAGGAACGUUCCGGGAUCUUUCCCCUGAAGCAUCUCCUCGGCCUGCGUCCUGCUCAGUUCGCCGACAAACCAACUCGUCUCGUCCUGAUGGGGAGCACCAGAAGUCAUUGCACCGCAGUAGUCACCUGCGAAGUCUUGGUGAAGGCUUCGUAAAGACGAUCAAACUCCUUCGACUUCUCUUCAUACUGACAAUGGACCUCUUUGAGCUUUCUUCCGGCCACAUCGACAGUGUUCUCCUUCACCUGAUGCUAAAACAAACCCAAUCGCUUAAGAUUCCUGACCAUUGCGAAACUGAAAUGCGGAACGCACUGACCUGCUGGAAGCGAGACACCGGGUGUGUGAGCAUCAGGUCCAACGAGGCGUUGUAUUCCACUAACGGGUGGUGCCGAUAGUGCCAAAUGAGCUCCACCACCGAAGUGAAGGUGAGCGGGUCCGAGAAGCCGUACUUGCCGUCGCGGUGGUAGAUCUUGAUCAAUUUAUUGUGGCCGUCUUUCCUGUCAAUCGCAAUUUGCCCGAUGAGUGUCGAGCGGGGAAACAAAAGCGCUUUGCUGUUAUUUCCUUCAAGCCGUUUCACCUUAAUGUCAGCGUAAAUUCUCCCUGCAGCUUGGUGGACGCGUCGCGUACUAGGAAGGAGCCGUCAGGUGUGUCACGGAGCUUCUCGUUGACCUCGUCCCUGAGGGGGAAAUCGGUUAACAGAUUAAACACCGCGCGCCGCAUUUCAACAGACAAGCGAUGGAAGGGGAGAGAUGUUCGAAUUAGCCGCCCUGCUCUUUUACCUGGUUACGUCGCCCCAGUACCAUUCGGCAUCCUGUAGCGAGUCGGACUGCGGGGAAAGGCAGUUAUUGUUCAUGGCGGAAGACGUUGGCUUGGUUGACCUGGGAGGGAGAGCUGUUGGGGAUGGAAACGAGACAACGUCAUUGGAAAAAGCGCGCCGCAAUCACAUCGAUCUAAAUACUAGCUCCAAGAUUACAGUCGUGUGUGCCUCGCCACGGUGAAAGUUUUCGAUAAGUAGAUGGCGAAACAACCAACAACGCUAUUGUCCUGCAUCUAGAUUGCCCGCAUUGCAACCAUGCGAGAUCCAGCAGGCGUCUUACUCAACAAAAACGGUAUCAAUCCAAUCGCCCAAUGUGCCGACACGCUUCGCGAGGCCUCUUCGAGCCAGAGACCCCCCCCACACACACACACACCUCCUACUCAUGCAAGUCUGUCGCGCCCUUGCCUGGUGGCUUGACGGGGACAAGCCCAGGCAUGUUUCCAAAAGAUGUCACUUGCCAAACCAUGACUGACACACCCACGGGGUGGGGUGGGGGACUGUGUUGCACGAGCGCGUGUUAUGACUAAUCCCCAAUUUCAGUAUUAUUUGGCACUAUUGUGGUCUGCAGUCUAUUUUUGGACGAGAA